rnacentral:rRNA from 1 species
AGCGAACGCUGGCGGCAGGCUUAACACAUGCAAGUCGAACGCCCCGCAAGGGGAGUGGCAGACGGGUGAGUAACACGUGGGAACCUUCCUAGAGGUACGGAACAACGCAGGGAAACUUGUGCUAAUACCGUAUACGCUCGAGAGAGGAAAGAUUUAUCGCCUUUAGACGGGCCCGCGUAGGAUUAGGUAGUUGGUGAGGUAACGGCUCACCAAGCCUACGAUCCUUAGCUGAUCCGAGAGGAUGAUCAGCCACAUUGGGACUGAGACACGGCCCAAACUCCUACGGGAGGCAGCAGUGGGGAAUAUUGGACAAUGGGCGCAAGCCUGAUCCAGCCAUGCCGCGUGAAUGAUGAAGGCCUUAGGGUUGUAAAAUUCUUUCAACGGUGACGAUAAUGACGGUAACCGUAGAAGAAGCCCCGGCUAACUUCGUGCCAGCCGCCGCUGUAA